GCCUGGUGGCUCAGUCGGUUAAGCAUCUGACUUCAGCUCAGGUCAUGAUCUCAUGGUUCGUGGGUUCGAGCCCCACGUCGGGCU
rnacentral:tRNA from 1 species